CUAGGGUGGGCCAGGCAGUGGCUGGGACGCUUGUAUACAUCUGGUUGCAAGAAGCCAGAGAAGGUAGACAUGGGCAAGGGCCCACAAAAUUGGGAUCAUCACCUGCUUCUCUAGAAAUGGUGCUUCAUCUCAAAGAGGAAAUAAAUCAAGAAGAGGAAGACAGAGGUUGCAGGAGACAGGGAUGUUGGCCAGGGAAGUCCCAGGUUG
rnacentral:lncRNA from 1 species